GCUGCCAACAGAAAGAGAUGUUUAGGUAGAAGAAGAGGAAAAGGGGAGGAAAGCCAGAGCCGCAGAUGCAGAAUGGAAGUCGGGAUGGGUGCAUGGGGAGCUCUGUGGGCUGGUUGGUGCUGGCCCUCAGAGAAGAUGCUGCCUGGGUGAACCAAACUUCCCUAUGGAAAAAGUGGAGAGUAACUUGCCCUAAUUAACAUGAAACUGAGCACCUAGAACAGGGCCUGGUGCCGAGAAGAUAAUCAGUAUCUCUUUGACAUCAGCAACAGUCAGCUGCUCACAAAUGAUAAUAAAGAUCUGGGAGGGUGAAGGGGCCAAGGAGAAUCUGUCCUUCCAGCAGCUCUCUGGGACCUUGCCAGAGAAGGCUGGAGCAGGGGAGGGCCUUCACCAGACGUGGCCUGGUUCUCACCUAGAUGCUGGGCAGAGACCAAAGAGCAUGUGCGAGGGCCUUCCACUUGGAAAGCACCAUGCCAGCAUCAGGAGUGGUCCUCCUGUUCAGCUAACCCUAGGAAAUUAGUCUUUCUCAGAAGAGUGGGCAGAGAAGGAAAGAAGAUCUUGUGACCUGGAGCUUGGGCAUCUGUACAAGGAUGAGAAAGGCCACCUGGGUGAGUUUUAACAUCCCCAUAUGCAACACCAGGCCCUAGAACACCCAGGUUGUAAUGCUGAUUUUGCUGUUUUGCCGAGACAGAAAGUCACCUCUCUGUGGGCCUCAACUGUAUACUGUGUAUGGUGAGCUUAUACAUUCUCCUCACAGGUGGCCAGACAGCAUGGUAAAGCCCGGAUGCAGAGCUUGCUUCUGCACUAUUGCAGAUUUCAUCUCGGGGAUAAAAAUGCUUGUCCAUCUGGCAUAACUUGGACCAGGUGAUGCUAGAGCCCCAGAAGGGUAGAACUCUGCCUUUUGUCCAUAAUCUAUAGUCCUAGCCCUUAGAAGGUUCACAUGACAUCUUUUUUUUUUUUUUAAAGAGAAGGGGCCUCGCCAUGUUGCCCAGGCUGGCCUCACACUUCUGGGCUUAAGCGAUCCUCCCACCUCAGCCUCCUAAGCAGCUAAGACCAUAAGUGGUUGCUACCGCACCUGACUCAUGAAAUCAUUUUUGAAAUCUCCAGUGAUAAGGGCUCUGUGUUUAGAAAACUUUCUUCCACGAGGGCUUCUGUAACUCUUUGGUCUCAGGAACUGCUUAGAACUUUGUAACUAAUGGUGCUAGUUAUGUUUCCUUGAGGCUACUCACCUAGGAAGCCCUUGGACACCAUCUGUGUCAGCAGUUCUGGGUUUCCACCUCCAAACCGCUCCCCAAAGACUUUGCCCAGAUCUUCCGCCACAUGUUUCGCUACAUCCACACCAACUUCAUCCACCAGUGUGGCGGCACCCACAGGAAAGCCAAAGCUUGUGGUCAGGGAAUCCAGCUUCUUCGGGUCAACUCCUUCCUGAACAGGAAGCGAUGCAGGGACCUCAGGGGAAGGGCAGCCCAAAUCCCCCCAAAGGGCUCCCUGUACUGGCUCCAAACACUGCCUUGUGUAAAACCCACUUCUGAGUGUCACCUGACCAGGCCCAGGACUGGUGCUAUUUCAUUCAGGGAAGCACAAAGAAGUUUGGGGCCACAAGUGGAAAGUCUCAGCCUUCUCUAAUCUACAGCACUUUAAGGACGUUUAGAGAUGACUAAAUUCUUCAUUUUCUUCUUGUUUGCAUUUCUGAAUCUCAAUAAUAAGGAGAUUGCAUGACAGACGGCUGAGUGUGUCAUGACCAACAGAAGAAACAUCAUCAAAGAGGAGCACUCAGAGCCCUGUGAUCCCCAAGUCUGGGUAAGUGCCCAGCGAGGAGGAUCCCUCUCCUUUCCUGCCAGAAUGACCUCGAUGGCUACUGGAGGGGUCUGUGUGCUGCGGAAACAGAUGCAGCACCAGUUGAACCAAGCGGGCCCUGUUCUGGAUGGUCCCUGCCUCAGAGAGGUGCAGAAACAGCAUAGAAGACAUGCUGGGGGGUGGGGCGCCUUUAGCUUUCUGGAACAGUGAGGAGGCUGUGGGGCAGAGGGAAAGCUCCGCCCCUUUCAGUGCGGUAUAAGCCCAACUUCCGACUGCUGUGCAGAGAGAGGGCAUCAGGGACCUUCCUAGACAAGAGCAGGAGUUGGUGUAUCAGAAGGAAGCUUGGUCCUUAUCUUGACAUUAUGAGUUUUAGAGUGACUGAAGGAGUGGAAGAUGCCGCAAACACUCUGGAGAGCAAUACCAACCUGGAGGAUUCGGAUGACUUCAGACAUCAUGGGCGCAAGACACCUGGUAGUAUAGAAGCCAGGUCCAUCCUGCCAAGGAAGAGAACAUGAGCUCACUGGCCCUGCUGCUGGGACUGAGUCUGAAACACUCUACCUUUCCCAGGGUCACUUCAAAGUCAUUUGAAAGUCACUGUAAAACUUAAGGUGACUUAAAAUCUCAAUCAGAAUCCUUAAAAAUGAAAUUGCAGGGGAAGCCGUACUAGGGGUAGCCUGGCUUGAAUCAAACAGUACAGCAGAUAGUUUCAUGGUCACCUUCAAGGUCUGGGAUGGCUGGGAGAACCCUGCCACAUCCUAGAUACUCCCCACUCCCACCUUGACUCAGUGGGACAGUCAAUACCACCGUCCAUCCUGGAGACAACCCAGGGGAAAAUCAUAUCAAAGUCUGGUCAUUUGCUCCAGACUAUUUAUAAAUAAGCCUGGAGGUAAAAGGAGUCUUAUUAGAACUUUUCAAAAACUCUGCAGCUCUGUUAUACAGCCCCUUACCUUAACCACAAUGAUGACCUUCCCCUGCUUGAGACCAACUGCUACAGCUGAAGCACUGGUGUCUUUGGAAGUUUUCUCGGUCGUGAUAAUCUCCAGCAGCUGCAUCUUGUCCACGGGAGAGAAGUAGUGCAUGCCAAUCACCUGGCAAGGGGAACCAAAAGCCAACAGAUUGGAGAAUGCGGGUGAGGAACCUGAGAGCAUUCCUUCUCUGCUAGGAAAACACUAGAAAGAAAGGUGGCUGUGAUAUAGGAAUACUGCUUGACAUAGCUGAGUGGUUUGGUUCCAUGGGUCUUUGAUAAAAGUUUAGUAUGUUUAGGGAGGGCACAUUGGAAUCCUCCUCUUCCAUUUGCUUCUAAGGUUUUUCACUACAGACAUCUGAUCCUCCCAACAAUCAGUGCCAAAACCACAGCUCGAGGCCAAACUAGAUUUAUUGGGGAACGACGGAUGAAGGUUCCACUUAUAUUAAUGAUACUGAUGGUUUAAAUAAGAGGAUCCAGUUUUUUUGGGCGGGGGUGGGGCAGGCAGAAGAAUUAAUGUGUUGGGCUGUCAGAGAAGUAUUUGCAUUUUACACAGAUGGGUCUCACCACCAGGAUACUAGGUUUAACUAACACUCCUCAACAGUCAGAUGCACUUAAGACUCAUUAAACCAGCAGUUCUCCAAGUGUAGUACCCGGACCCAACAAGCACUGUCAUCACCUGGGAGCGUUAGGCCUGCACAUUCUCAGGCCUAGCCCAGCCCUACUGAAUCAGAAACUCCAUGGGUGGGGCCCAGAUUUGUUUUAAUAAUCCCUCCUGGUGAUUCUGAUGUGUGCUAAGGUUUCAGAGAACCCCCUCAUUGAGCUAACAGUUACAUAGUCUUCCCAACAGAACUGUGGUGAAAGAAGUCUAAUUCAUUAAUUUAUAGUUUUGCUUUCUCCCUCUCACUUUAGCUAUAAGGUACAACAAGUGAUAUCUGUAAUUUUUGGCUGCUCAUUAUCUACCUGCUCUUCAAUACAUUUACCACUUAUUCCUUACAUUUAAUCCAUUACAACCCUAUGAACUGGUUAGCCUAAUUAUCUAGAUGAGGAAAAAAGGUAUCAAGAGGUUAGUAGUUCAGAGUCAGUCAGCAUAUGACGGGGUGGGAUUCCAUCACAGUUCUGUCUAUCUCCAAUGCCAUUAUGUAAUACACAGAUCAAUUAAAUGUUAUGUAAACUUA